CCGAUAGUGAACCAGUACCGUGAGGGAAAGGCGAAAAGAACCCCGGCGAGGGGAGUGAAAAAGAACCUGAAACCGUGUACGUACAAGCAGUGGGAGCCCCACCACUAAGCCAGUGGUGAACUCCACAUACGCAUCCUUUGCUGAGGAUACGGUUAACGGAGCGAAAGCGACGUUCAACCGCAAAAGAAGCAGAGGGGGCUUAGUGGUGGGGUGACUGCGUACCUUUUGUAUAAUGGGUCAGCGACUUAUAUUCUGUAGCAAGGUUAACCGAAUAGGGGAGCCGGAGGGAAACCGAGUCUUAAUUGGG
rnacentral:rRNA from 1 species